AGUCGACGAUGAAUCUUCUAGCUUGCUAGAAGUGGAUUAGUGGCGCACGGGUGAGUAAUGCAUAGGUUAUGUGCCCUUUAGUCUGGGAUAGCCACUGGAAACGGUGAUUAAUACUGGAUACUCCCUACGGGGGAAAGUUUUUCGCUAAAGGAUCAGCCUAUGUCCUAUCAGCUUGUUGUGAGGUAAUGGCUCACCAAGGCUAUGACGGGUAUCCGGCCUGAGAGGGUGAUCGGACACACUGGAACUGAGACACGGUCCAGACUCCUACGGGAGGCAGCAGUAGGGAAUAUUGCUCAAUGGGGGAAACCCUGAAGCAGCAACGCCGCGUGGAGGAUGAAGGUUUUAGGAUUGUAAACUCCUUUUGUUAGAGAAGAUUAUGACGGUAUCUAACGAAUAAGCACCGGCUAACUCCGUGCCAGCAGCCGCGGUAAUACGGAGGGUGCAAGCGUUACUCGGAAUCACUGGGCGUAAAGAGUGCGUAGGCGGGGUAAUAAGUCAGAUGUGAAAUCCUGUAGCUUAACUACAGAACUGCAUUUGAAACUGUUACUCUGGAGUGUGGGAGAGGUAGGUGGAAUUCUUGGUGUAGGGGUAAAAUCCGUAGAGAUCGAGAGGAAUACUCAUUGCGAAGGCGACCUGCUGGAACAUUACUGACGCUGAUGCACGAAAGCGUGGGGAGCAAACAGGAUUAGAUACCCUGGUAGUCCACGCCCUAAACGAUGGAUGCUAGUUGUUGCCUUGCUUGUCAGGGCAGUAAUGCAGCUAACGCAUUAAGCAUCCCGCCUGGGGAGUACGGUCGCAAGAUUAAAACUCAAAGGAAUAGACGGGGACCCGCACAAGCGGUGGAGCAUGUGGUUUAA
rnacentral:rRNA from 1 species